GUGGCACUCCGUGCUUGCCUAGCGACAUACUCACAACCACAUAGAUAAGGGGGAGUUGUGCAGACAGCUUUUCAGGGUUAAGCAAUUGACUAUCAAUCAAUAAUCUUUUAUGAAAGAAGAGAUGGUGCAGCACACGCAUGCCCAAUAUUAAGAGAGAGAAGACAUUUAUUGAGGCAAGCAGCUGGAGUGGACCUGCCCCCAUCACCAGGCCAGCUUCCCACCUGCACGUGCAGCUCUUUCUUCUUUUGCAGGAGGCUGGCUCUGCUCAUUAGACAUGCAACAAAGAGCUGGCCUGUGGAGCACACAUCCAUAUUCAUAACUCAAGUCAGCUGGAAAGUUGUACAUUUUUCUUUCUGGGAAGUCAUGGCGACAAAGACUGAAGACCCAGGCAGCACAAAUGUGAAUGAUGGAUCUCUUGGAAGAACAACAAAGACUGAAGUGAGUAUAUUUUAUGCUUGGAAAUGAGCAAAUCAUUCCUUUUGACAAGCCAUUGAUGUUGGGGGUUUGCUGGAGUUUGGAUUUACUACUGAGUCAUAUUUGGAGCAUGCUGGAAUCUUACAACUGAGAUUACCGAGUCAGAAACUAGUUUGACUGUUCUCGUCGGCAUGGUUGAGACAUUAUCCCUGGCAGAAGGCUGGACUGGCAUGGACAUCAUUUGAUGAGUUCGUCUCCUCUUAACAAUCAAAGCCUGUUUUCCAGUGCGAAUAAACUGUUGCCUUAUAUAUUGUUUUCCCAUUUUUAUAGUUGUUUACUGCAAAAAAGAGUCUGGUACAAGUUACUUUGCUAAAACCUUGAUAAAGUUUUAUUCUACGAUUCUUCAAUCAAUGUUUCUGUUUUGUUUAUUCUGUUAUCUCUGUUGUGUCAUACCAUAAUUCUCUCAUUAAUAGCUCAUAUUCUUUUUCAUAGCUAUUCAAUUCUUUAGCAGUUUCUACUUUUAUGUUUGGGAGAAAAUUGAAAGCUUGAUUUCUUAUUUUGACAAGUUUUCUAAAGGUUUCAGCAUGCAAUAUUUUUUUUCAUAGCCUUACAGUUUGUAAUAGUUCAUCUGAUUGUAAAGCUCUUACAAUCUUUCCUGAUUUUAAGUCAUUUUAACAACGACUUUCUCUCUUUUUUAUUUUUAAGAAACAAUGUCCUCCUUUUCAUUUGUUGAGAACUCUACUCAGCUUUUAAAAAACUUCCUGUGUAUGUACCUUAAUUCUUUUGACAAUAAAACAUUACUCUGAA
rnacentral:lncRNA from 1 species